rnacentral:rRNA from 1 species
GACAGAGGGUGCUAGCGUUGUUCGGAAUUACUGGGCGUAAAGGGCGUGUAGGCGGCAAAGUAUGUCCGGUGUGAAAUCCCUCGGCUUAACUGGGGAAGUGCAUCGGAAACUACUUAGCUAGAGUGCAGGAGAGGGUGGCGGAAUUCCCAGAGUAGAGGUGAAAUUCGUAGAUACUGGGAGGAACACCUGAGGCGAAGGCGGCCACCUGGCCUGUGACUGACGCUGAUACGCAAAAGCGUGGGGAGCAAAC